AUUGUCGCGUAACUUAGUGCGAUUUAAGUCACGCUGGUUGCUGGCUCACGAUUCAAGACACUUCACACGUGGGACUGUAUUUUUUGUAUAUAUUUAUUAAGUACAGAUAUUUACACUUGUUUAGUGCACGUCGUUUUACAAUGAUGUAAUUACAAUUACCCAACACGAUUCUCAACUCUCAAUUUGCGAUUCAAAAUAACACACACACAUAACGCGUUCAACACGACAAUAACCAAUACCAAUCACCAAACCCAAUAAUCAAUAAUACACUUUUUAGCCUAUAUUUAUAUUAACAGAACAGGAAUACAUAUUUUCUCUACCACAACUUCCCUUACGUAAAUGGAACACGUUUAUUGCUAUUUUGUUCCCUUUUUGUGGUUCUUAAUCCAAUUUUGAUCUACCACACCAUCCCAUGCAAGUCAUGUCCGUGACGUUCUAAUGUGGGAUUCUAGGUGUUCCCAUUACGAUGCAAUUUUAUAGUGUCCUGUAUCACGUUUAAUGAUACAAAUAAUGUUCUCUCUCU
rnacentral:lncRNA from 1 species